rnacentral:lncRNA from 1 species
UAAAAUUAUUGCAAACAAACAAAUCAACGACUUCAUUUUUUAUCGUCAGGGAGCUGUAUUGUUAGUGUCAGCGUCAUGCCAGAGAGUAAAAUUGCCUGUGAAUCAGCAAGAAAGGAUUUGUUGAACUGUCUUCUUCAAUCAGAGUGUUACAAAAUUGAGGGCCUGACACCAAGAGAAUGUCUGCAAAGAGGGGAUGACAUGCCAGAAGACUGUAAACCUAUCAGAAUGAGAUUGUACCAGUGUAAAAGAUCUCAGCUUGAUGCACGGACAAGGUUUCGAGGAAAGCGAGAAUGAUAGUGGAUGAAUGUAGACAUAAUAUUCAAAACAAACUAGUU